rnacentral:rRNA from 1 species
UACGGAGGGGGCAAGCGUUGCUCGGAAUUACUGGGCGUAAAGGGCGCGUAGGCGGAUUUUCAAGUCAGGCGUGAAAGCCCCGGGCUCAACCCGGGAACUGCGCUUGAUACUGAUGAUCUAGAGUUCGGAAGAGGGUGGUGGAAUUCCCAGUGUAGAGGUGAAAUUCGUAGAUAUUGGGAAGAACACCAGUGGCGAAGGCGGCCACCUGGUCCGAUACUGACGCUGAGGCGCGAAAGCGUGGGGAGCAAACAGGAUUAGAUACCCCCGUAGUCC